CAGAGGAGGCAAACGUGCAACUUUCUUCGGUCGUCCCGAAUCCAGGUUCAUCCGACACCAGCCACCUCCGUCAUGCCGCCUAAGUUUGAUCCCAACGAAAUCAAAGUCGUGUACCUGAGGUGCACCGCUGGCGAGGUCGGCACCACUUCCGCCCUGGCCCCCAAGAUCGGCCUCUGGGUUUGUCUCCAAAAAAAGUUGGUGAUGACAUCACCAAGGCGACAGGUGACUGGAAGAGUCUGAGGAUUACAGUUAAGCUGACCGUUCAGAACAGACAGGCCCAGAUAGAGGUGGUACCUUCUGCCUCUGCCUUGAUCAUCAAAGCCCUAAAGAGACAGAAAGAAACAGAAAAAUAUUAAACACCACGGAAACAUCUCUUUUGAUGAGAUUGUCAACACUGCCCGGAAGAUGCAGCACUGAUCUUUAGCCAGAGAACUUUCUGGAACCAUUAAGGAGAUCCUGGGUACUGCCCAGUCUGUGGGGUGUAAUAUUGAUGGCCACCACCCUUAUGACAUCAUAGAUGACAUCAACAGUGAUGCUAUGGAAUGCCCAGCUAGUUAA